rnacentral:rRNA from 1 species
AUUGAACGCUGGCGGCAUGCCUUACACAUGCAAGUCGAACGGUAACGCGGGGGCAACCCUGGCGACGAGUGGCGAACGGGUGAGUAAUACAUCGGAACAUGUCCAGUAGCGGGGGAUAACCUGUCGAAAGAUAGGCUAAUACCGCAUACGAUCUACGGAUGAAAGCGGGGGACCGCAAGGCCUCGCACUAUUGGAGUGGCCGAGUUCGGAUUAGCUAGUUGGGGAGGUAAAAGCUCACCAAGGCGACGAUCCGUAGCUGGUCUGAGAGGACGAUCAGCCACACUGGAACUGAGACACGGUCCAGACUCCUACGGGAGGCAGCAGUGGGGAAUUUUGGACAAUGGGCGCAAGCCUGAUCCAGCCAUGCCGCGUGAGUGAAGAAGGCCUUCGGGUUGUAAAGCUCUUUCGGCCGGGAAGAAAUCGUGUUCUCUAACAUAGGACAUGGAUGACGGUACCGGACUAAGAAGCACCGGCUAACUACGUGCCAGCCGCCGCGGUAAAAC